CGGCGUGCCUAACACAUGCAAGUCGAACGGAGAUAUGACGCUGAUGAGGCUUCGGCGGAUUCUUGUUAUAUCUUAGUGGCGGACGGGUGAGUAACGCGUGGGCAACCUGCCUCAUACUGGGGGAUAGCAGUUGGAAACGACUGAUAAUACCGCAUAAGCGCACAGCAUCGCAUGAUGCAGUGUGAAAAACUCCGGUGGUAUGAGAUGGGCCCGCGUCAGAUUAGCUAGUUGGUAAGGUAACGGCUUACCAAGGCGACGAUCUGUAGCCGGACUGAGAGGUCGGACGGCCACAUUGGGACUGAGACACGGCCCAAACUCCUACGGGAGGCAGCAGUGGGGGAUAUUGCACAAUGGAGGAAACUCUGAUGCAGCGACGCCGCGUGAAGUGAAGAAGUAUUUCGGUAUGUAAAGCUCUAUCAGCAGGGAAGAAAGACUCGCAAGAGAGAUGACGGUACCUGACUAAGAAGCCCCGGCUAACUACGUGCCAGCCGCCGC
rnacentral:rRNA from 1 species